GCCUGAAGUGCUGAUGCCAGCUACAGGAGGAACAUGUCUCCAGAGAGAUUUCACACAAUUCUGACAGCUAGUCAGACUUGCAGGAGAGACAAGUCCAGACAUGGUGGGCAGGGCCAGUUAUGAAGACUCUCGCCUUCUGUUUAAGCCUCUGGUUGAGGAGCUGACCCGAGUUUGGAUCCCCAGCACCCACGGACAACACUGGACCAGGUGGUAACUGCCCAUAAUCCUGGUGCCGGGGAGGUAGAGACUGGGGGUCCCUGGGGCUUGCUGGCCAACUAGUCUGCCUCAGUCAGUUCCAGGUUCAGUGAGAGAACCAGAAAACGAGACGGAGAGCAAUGCUGACAACCGACACCCACCUCUAGCUUCCGCAUGCGCACACGCGUGCGCGCACAGACACACAGUCUAAGCCUCACGUAGAUGCCCUGGACACAGACCCAGGGCCACUGCGCCUCAAUGUUUGUUCCUCUUCCCAGUGCGGCCACUGAGCACAUCUCCCUUCCUCGCUUUCCCCUGUUACUUGACUCCCCGGGUGCCGUAUUGGGGAUGGGUGGCGGAACCUAGCUUAUUGGGACUUCCGGAGUCCAGGUAGACUUUGAUCCCAAAACUCUGAUGACAUUUGGAUAAUUCGCAGGGCUCUAGAGCAGUUUUGAGGACACAAAAAUGACAAAAUACAAACAUCGCAAACCGAGAGAGUGAGACAAGCCUGGACGCACAUCAGAGACCACUGGAGCCUGGAGUAGCCGCUGCCUGGAGAGAGAGGCCGUGUGCUGUGAGGCACCUGGGACGCACCAGGACAAGAAGCUGACCUGGUUUUUGCACGUGGACACUUUGAGCUGCUUUGUUCAUACCCAAAACCUGGAAGCAAAUGUCCUCCACCUGCAAGUGUACAGACAAGUCUGGGUACGAAGUAAUUUGGUAGACUCAUUGAGAAACUGUUGGUGUCGUUCUCAAAGCGAGACUCAUGCAUAGCAGUUGCAUCCCCAGGGACACACCCAACACUUCAGGCUUGUGUAAGGACAUUACAGGGCCUAUGCCAAGCACUCAGUUUUCCUGUGGACUUUCUCUUCUCAUGAAGUGAAGCCUGAGUGACAGAUCGUCUCAAGCCUUCCUUGGGAGUGUGCACCGGGCACCUCUUAGGUGGUCUAGGUCACCACGACAGUCUGAAGUCAGACUUCUGACCCUACUAACCCUGUGCUCAGCCAUACCAAGGAGGCCAGACGAUGUUCCUGGAGGGGAGGGCAGGGAGAGUCUAGGAAGGGGUGUCCUACCCAGCAGAGGGCUUUACUGCCUCCAGGCCCUCACUCUCACAGGCAGCCCAGCGUGUGUUUGGAAAUCUUCACUCAGGCACUAGGUGGGAGUACAGAGCCCUUGGAGGAGGGGACCGAAGCCCAGAUCGCAUAGAGCUAAGGCUAGAACCUGGGUCUUGAGACUCCGAAACCCAGUUCUAGACCAGUGUUUCCCACAGAGUCAUGCCUGGCUCCUUUGGAAAGUUGGUGAAGUUUACAAGGCUGUCUGUCCCACAGUGGGGUUUUAAAACAACAUGGAAUGGAAUACAUGAUUACCAGGUCUGUUAAAAUAGCCAUAUUGAAAUACAUUUGUCAGUAUUUGGUUUUUGAGGCAGAUUCUCUGUGUAGCCCGCGUUGGCCUUGAACUCUCAACUCCCCUGCCUUAGCGGGAGUGCUGAUAUUAUAGGUGCCCGGCUCAAUUGCCAUGACUUAAAAAAAAGAUUGCAGUACACUGUAUGUUACAUCUAUGUGACUUGUGUGGGGGUGUAUCU